GGUGUUGGCGGGGAAGUGGCUGCAUGGCCCAGGGUGGGGAUGGGGACUGCGCUCUCCCCUGGCCCGUGAACAGCAGCCUUCUCUUGGAGCCGGGGUUCAUCUCCCUCACCUGGUUAAUGAUAAUUUGGAGGCAACAGAUAUGUGACGGAGGUAGAAGCGAGAUUUACACUAAUUUGGCAACGUCAGGGUUAACAAGGAAUGAAUUGGGGGAGGGAUGCUGUGAUAACUGGACGCCCCCUCAACUACCUCUGUUCAUGAGGGUCCCAGAUGCUGGGAGGUCCAGGGACGCCUAUGGAUGGGAGUUGUCAGAUAAGAGAGGCCCUGAGACUUCAAACCUUAAACCUUGAGCUCCCUACACUCAGAACUAUAGGACUCUGCCCAGACUUCGUUUAACCACAUUGAGUCCAGGGAAGGAAGAAAAUAAACUAAAAAGCAGGAAUGAAGUUAGCAAGAGUAAAAGAUCUUUUAAGUGGGGAGGACCUGGGGCUGUUUCCCUAUGGGAAACAUAGGCUAAGCAGAGGCUCUGUCUGAAACUGGUGGCAGUGGCCAGCUGGAACAGGUGCCCAGCUCUCCCUGGAAGACUCAAGGGCUCUUUCCUGGUGAUAUCUCCCAGUAGAAGCGAGCCUGCACCAAGUCUGUGCCCUUCUAAGCCUCUUCCAACUACCCACUCACUCACUGGCCUUUGCCCCUCUGCCUUCAUCUCCAAAACUGAGGCUCUGCAAGUUGCAAUUAAUGCUCUCAUCUUCCUAAGGCAAACCCAUAACUCCAGUCCCAGGAUCCCACCUGUGACCAGCUCAUCCAGCAAUGACUGCUCCCCUUAAAACACAGAGAAGGAAAUGAACUCCUUUCUAAUUAGUCAAGAUCCUGCCAAGAUUUCCUUGUAAAUAAAACUGUCUGCAUGGAGUGUGAUUUUGAAAACAGCCUUCAGGGGACAGAAGAGGAGCUGGCUUCUUUGUGGAAAGAAGCCCAGAAGGAUAAGCAUCUACUGGGGACCCUGAGGAAUCCCCCAGUCAUGUUUGAAGUCUGCAAGUCCAAACAGCAGACAGAGCUCAGGGAGGAGACCGCCACGUGGAAUCCACCCACCCUCCAUCCCCAUCUCCAGCCUUCUUCCGUGGUUGCCCGCUGUCUGCCAGAUCAAACAGAACAAGAUACUGCUGAUAAACAUCUUUACAGACUGAGCCUUCAGAGAGAGCUAUGAGACAUACCUCUGCCCUCAGUGAGCUACAAGUGUCAGGUUGGAAAGCCAUGCUGUGAAAAAAACAAAACAAACAACAACAACAACAACAAAAACCUGCAGGUACUUGUGAUAGGUACUGAGUAGGCAACAUCAUGUGGCAGCAAAAAAGUGUCCAAGUAGGUGAUGCUGGAACUGAAUCUUAAGAGACCAUGUAGGAGUUUGCCAAGUGGAUGAGGCUUGAUGUAUUCAAGACAGAAGGAACUGCAUGUACUAAGGCAGGAAGGUGUGAAUCUGCAUAGGAACUGCCCGUCGUUAGGGUGAUAGUGACAUUCUGGGAGUCUUUGCAUUAACUGCUUCCUACCCCCCCUACCCCUAAGUAAGCCAGUACUCUCUGGGUUGUGGCUGAGGGGGGUUAGGAUUGUUGUCUCAAUGUGGCCUCCCUGUCCAUGAAGCACAUCACCAAGGAGAUGAUGACUUGAAUAAGAAGUCUCCUUUUCCGUCUCUUGCCUUUAUCUCUUCUCUGAAUUAGAAAUAGGGAAGCAGACUGGAAUUAGGAGCAUGGCUCGAAUGGCCCCAAGGUGACCCACAAUUCUCCAGCCUUGCACAUCAUCAAGCCAGAUCAGAGAGAGAAGGGGGUUUUGUAUAAAAUGGGGUCCAGAGACUGCCUUGGGCAGUUUCGAUUUGCUGGGCAUCCUCCCCUGUGCUGCCAGAGCACAUGAUCUCCCUACAGCUGUGGCAGCCUGUUGUGGCUCCUUGGGGAGCUGUCCAAGUCCUCUGCAGAGCGAUGGAGUUAACCUGUCCCUUCUCCGUGAAGGACGUCCUGCAACGGAAAUGCGUUUUCCCCUGCUUCUCGAUCUGGUGGCUGCAGCUCUGGUCUGCAGCUCAUCAUAUGCCUGGCUCUGCACACUCCAAAGACACAAGAACAGCAGAGAGGGGAGAUGCACGCCUCCAAGACAUCCUUAGCUGUGAGCAGCCCCACAGGCAGCGAGCCACAGGGUUAACUUAGCUCAGGGAAAGCCUAGGAAGCGUCCGUAAGCAUUCUGCUGGCUUGGCUUGCUGUGACAAUUUAUAUCUAAGAAAAAAGGGGCCACAAGUCAGGGAAAUACCAGAAACACCAAAGAAAUAGGCAUGUUUGCCAGAUGGUUUCUGGGGCACAAUUGUAUUUGCAGAGUGACGGUCUGCAGGGGGAGGUCCUUUCAUCAGAGAGCAAAGGCGCUGGUGGAUGGCUCAUUCAUUAUCCGAGGCUCCUUUGAAGGAGAUUGGUGGCUUGGAGCACACCCACGCUUAUCCUCCCUUCCCAGAACCUUACCACUGAUUGCCCAAAGCAGAAGGGGCAUUUGGGUUGGGCCUCUUCAAAAUGCUUGCAGCUUAGCUGCUUUAGGCACCUGCCACCUGUAUCUUUCCCAACUUAAACCAUUCAAUUCGUUCUCUCCACUGCCAGCUGACAUUCUCUCUUCUUCAUGUUAACUGAUGAGAUUUUAUAAAUAACACAGCUUGGGCUCUGAUGAUAUGGCUUCAGUUGUGCUGCCAGGGCUGACCCAGGGGGCAGUAGGGAUGAGGCUGUGAGAGGGUGAGUGGGUCUGAAAAUAUGAAAAACCAGGAAGGCAUUUAAAAUUAUGCCCAACAUUAGCACAGAUUUUUCAAGAACUUAUUGCAUUUGUCCUCAUUCAGUUACAGAUUUUGAGUAAUAGAGAUUAUGUCUAUUUUGGCUUUGCUGCCUACUGCAGGUGGGAGAGUGAUCAUAGCUUCAAUCACUAUUGAUGAGUGAUGCUCCCCAAAGCCGUGGUCAUCAGGGAGAUGGGGUGAAGGUCAGAGGGCUGUCCACAUGAAGAUAUCAUUACAAGCAGAGCCUCUGGGAUACCCUUUUACUAGUGGAUGGUGGCUUCCCUGUGCUGGAGGCCAGAAUCACAGCAAGCAGCCAGAGAGGCCACAUAGAGGCGUGUUGCAAGGGUGGUCACUUAUUAGGAGUCAUCUGCUAAUCAUUCAUCUGUUGAUUGUCACUUAGUGUUAUAUCAUGAACUUCUUAAGGACAGGGUGGCUUUGUAACACCUCUCUUUCUCUGUAUCAUGUCAGUGUGGUAUCAAAGGGUUGAGUGGGAAAUGUACACCUUUAUUCAUUCAGACUUUCACUGAUGUCAGGACAGCCUUCAGCAAGGUGGUUAACCUCAGGGGGUCUCUGUUUCCUUGGAUUUAUUUGUUCAUUUAAAAAAAAAAAAGUUUGUAUUGCUGGGGAUCAAACCCAAGGCUGUGUACAAGCUAGGCAAGUGCUUUACCACUAUGCUACACCCCAAUACCAUGUUUCCUUGGAUUUAAAUGAGCUUCAUAGUAUCCAUUUUGCUAGGAUGUAGGUAAGAAGGAUGGAAUAGUGCCUGAUCCAGAGUGGUUCUCAGGAGGCAUCAUCUCCCUUCCUUUCCCCUCUGGAUACACCAUCCAUGGUGUGAAUAAAUGAAUAAAUCAUUUCAGAGAUGAACACACUUUGGCAUAUUUCUUAGAUAUAUUCACAUUCCAAAAAGACCAUAUAUGGCAGUUGAAAAAGAAAAAAAAAACCCAACCAGGUAACCAAAUUUGCAGUUUAUAGC